rnacentral:rRNA from 1 species
UACGUAAGGUCCGAGCGUUGUCCGGAAUCAUUGGGCGUAAAGGGUACGUAGGCGGAUAAGCAAGUUAGAAGUGAAAUCCUAUAGCUCAACUAUAGUAAGCUUUUAAAACUGCUCAUCUUGAGGUAUGGAAGGGAAAGUGGAAUUCCUAGUGUAGCGGUGAAAUGCGCAGAUAUUAGGAGGAAUACCGGUGGCGAAGGCAACUAACUGGGCAUUAACUGACACUGAGAGACGAAAGCGUGGGGAGCAAACAGG